rnacentral:rRNA from 1 species
GCGACCUCAGCUAAGGCAAGAACAUCUGCUGAGUUUAAGCAUAUAAUUAAGCGGAGGAAAAGAAACUUACAAGGAUUACCCUAGUAGCGGCGAUCGAACCGGGAAGAGCCUAGCAUGAAAAUCAGCGGCAGCAUCGCCUGAAUUGUAGUCUGUAGAACCGUCCUCAACAGCGGACCUAGGCCAAGUCCCUUGGAAGGGGGCACCUGAGAGGGUGAAAACCCCGUCAGCCCGAGACCCUGCCACAUCACGAGGCGUUGUCGGUGAAUUGGGUUGUUUAGGAAUUCAACCCUAAUUGGAUGGUAAAUUUCAUCCAAGGCUAAAUACGGGUGAGAGACCGAUAGCGAACAAGUACCAUGAGGGAAAGAUGAAAAGGACUUUGAAAAGAGAGUUAAAGAGUGCUUGAAAUUGUCGGGAGGGAAGCAGAUGGAGGCUGUCGAUGCGUCUCGGUUGGAUGUGGAACGACUCAGGUUAGUCCGCCGCUCAACUUGAGGUGAAAACCAACACGGGCUGCUGCAUCGUCACAAGCGCGGGCGGAUUUCCGCCUGUCGGUUUGUCGUUGUGGUGGUCAAGGAACAAAGUGUGUGCCCUUGUGGUGGGCUAUGUGCACCUACACGCUCGUGGUGUUGGUUGGCAAGCUUUCCAUUUGACCCGUCUUGGAACAUGGACCAAGGAGUCUAACAUGUGUGCGAGUUGACAGGUUUGAAAACCUGUGAGGUGGAAGGAAGCUGACGGGCGAGAUCCCCUCUCUUGGGGGGGUGCAUCUUUGACCAACCUUGAGCUUAUGCGAAGGGUUCGAGUGCGAGCACACCUGUUGGGACCCGAAAUAUGGUGAACUAUGCCUGAGUAGGGUGAAGCCAGAGGAAACUCUAGUGGAGGCUCAUAGCGAUACUGACGUGCAAAUCAUUCGUCUGACUUGGGUAUAGGGGCGAAAGACUAAUCAAACCAUCUAUUAGCUGGUUUCCUUUGAAGUUUCCCUCAAGAUAGCUAGAGCUCAUGCGUGAGUUUUAUCAGGUAAAGCAAAUGAUUAGAGGCAUCGGGGGUGUAAUUCCCUUGACCUAUUCUCAAACUUUAAAUAGGUAAGAGGGUGCGGCUACUCCAUUGAGUCGUGCCAUGGAAUCGAGAGCUCCAAGUGGGCCAUUUUUGGUAAGCAGAAUUGGCGAUGCGGGAUGAAUUGAAAGUCAAGUUACGGUGCCGAAUUACGCGCUAACCUAGAUCCCACAAAGGGUCUUGGUUGAUUAAGACAGCAGGAUGGUGGUCAUGGAAGUCGAAAUCCGCUAAGGAGUGUGUAACAACUCACCUGUCGAAUCAACUAGCCCCGAAAAUGGAUGGCGCUGAAGCGCGCAACCUAUACUCAACCGUCGGAGCAAUUUCCUAGCUCCGAUGAGUAGGAGGACACGGGGGUCGUUGAGAAACCUCGGGCGUGAGCUUGGGUGGAUCAGCCCUCGGUGUAGAUCUUGGUGGUAGUAGCAAAUAUUCAAAUGAGAACUUUGAAGACUGAAGUGGGGAAAUGUUCCAUGUAAAUAGCACUUGGACAUGGGUUAGUCGAUCCUAAGAGAUGGGGAAGCCUUGUAUCAAGGGUGAACUCUGCACGAGCAUCGAAAGGGAAUCAGGUUAAUAUUCCUGAACUGGGACAUGGUGAAGGGAAGCAAUGUUAGGAAAUCCGAAGACGUCGUCGGGGGCCCCGGGAAGAGUUAUCUUUUCUUUUUAACAUCUUUCCCACCCUGGAAUCGGUUCACUUGGAGAUAGGGUCCAACAGCAGGAAGAGCACCGCACGUCUUACGGUGUCCAAAGCGCCCUCGGCAGCCAUUGAAAAUCUGGAGGACCGAGUACCGUUCAUGCCUAGUCGUACUCAUAACCGCAUCAGGUCUCCAAGGUGAACAACCUCUGGUGAAUACAACAAUGUAAGUAAGGGAAGUCGACAAAACGGAUCCGUAACUUCGGGAAAAGGAUUGGCUCUGAGGGCUGGGUCUAGGGGUCUAUGCCCUAACCUCAUGGGCUGUCGGAAGUCUGUCUGAGCUGCUCUCACGGCAAGGGUGGGCAGUCGCGUGCCAAUUGGGCUACGGGCGUAGAAUGCCCCCUGCCGGGGGCUUUUCCUUAGGCAUCAAACAGUUGACUCAGAACUGGUACGAACAAGGGGAAUCCGACUGUUUAAUUAAAACAAAGCAUUGCGAUGGUCCCUACGGAUGCUGAUGCAAUGUGAUUUCUGCCCAGUGCUCUGAAUGUCAAAGUGAAUAAAUUCAACCAAGCGUGGGUAAACAGGUGGAGUAACUAUGACUCUCUUAAGGUAGCCAAAUGCCUCGUCAUCUAAUUAGUGACGCACAUGAAUGGAUUAACGAGAUUCCCACUGUCCCUAUCUACUAUCUAGUGAAACCACAACCAAGGGAACAAGCUUGGCAGACUCUUUGUGAAAUGACUUGAGAGGUGUAGAAUAAGUGGGAGCCGUUUUCGGUGCAAGUGAAAUACCACUACUUUUAACGUUAUUUUACUUAUUCCGUGGGGUGGAGACGGGGCAUUGCCCCUGUUUUUGGCCUUAAGGCACGUUUCGGUGGGUUGAUUCGGGUGGCAGACAUUGUUAGGUGGGGAGUUUGGUUGGGGCGGCACAUUUUUUAAAAGCUAACGCAGGAGUCCUAAGAUGAGCUCAACGAGAACAUAAAUCUUGUGUGGAACAAAACAGUAAAAUCUCAUUUGAUUUUGAUUUUCAGUACAAAUGCAAACCGUGAAAGCGUGGCCUAUCAAUCCUUUAGAUUUUCAGAAGUUGAAUCUAGAGGUGUCAGAAAAGUUACCACAGGGACAACUGGCUUGUGGUAGCCAAGCGUUCAUAGUGACGUUGCUUUUUGAUCCUUCGAUGUUGGUUCUUCCUAUCAUUGUGAAGCAGAAUUCACCAAGUGUUGGAUUGUUCACCCACCAAUAGGGAACGUGAGCUGGGUUUAGACUGUCGUGAGACAGGUUAGCUUUACACUACUGAUGAACCGCACCGCAAUAGUAAUUCAACUUAGUACAAGAGGAACCGUUGAUUCACACAAUUGGUCAUCGCGCUUGGUUGAAAAUCUAGUGGUGCGAAGCUACCGUGUGUCGGAUUAUGACUGAAUGCCUCUAAGUCAAAAUCCACAUUAGAAGCGGUGCAUGUCACUCUUCGACUGUAUAUCGACCCACAGUAGGGUCGUCGCUUUGUCUUCCCCAGGGGCCCGUGUCAUUUGCAAACCGUGACCGUGAAGCAUCUCGGUCAGGGCAGCUUUGAAGUUCAAUUCCAAAUGGUCGUUGAGAAGAAUCCUUUGCAGACGACUCAAAUACGCGACAAGGUAUUUUAAGUGGCAGAGUGACCUUACUACCACAAUCCACUAAGAUUCAGC